UCCCUGUUACCAGGGCAGUCUAUUCAGAAAAAUUCAACUGAAUACAAGGGUUGCGCUCGUUGAUGGACUUAACCAAACAUCUCACGACACGAGCUGACGACGGCCAUGCAACACCUGUCACCGAAUUCCUUUCGGCACAAUUUCCUUUCGGAAACCUUCUCGGGAUGUCAAACCUGGGUAAGGUUCUUCGCUUAGCUUCGAAUUAAAGAACACGCUCCACCGCUUGUGCGGGUCCCCGUCAAUUCCUUUAUGUUUUAGUCUUGCGACCGUACUCCACAGGCGGGAUGCUUAACGCGUUAGCUUCGCUACUAGAAGGGUCGAUACUUCUAACAGCUAGCAUCCAUAGUUUACGGCGUGGACUAC
rnacentral:misc_RNA from 1 species